rnacentral:rRNA from 1 species
AGAGUUUGAUUAUGGCUCAGGAUGAACGCUAGCGAUAGGCCUAACACAUGCAAGUCGAGGGGCAGCACAUGAAGUAGCAAUACGGAUGGUGGCGACCGGCGCACGGGUGAGUAACGCGUAUGCAACCUGCCUACAACAGGGGAAUAACCCGUUGAAAGACGGACUAAUACCCCAUAACACAGGGAUCCCGCAUGGGAAUAUUUGUUAAAGAUUUAUCGGUUGUAGAUGGGCAUGCGUUCCAUUAGCUUGUUGGUGAGGUAACGGCUCACCAAGGCAACGAUGGAUAGGGGAACUGAGAGGUUUAUCCCCCACACUGGUACUGAGACACGGACCAGACUCCUACGGGAGGCAGCAGUGAGGAAUAUUGGUCAAUGGACGCAAGUCUGAACCAGCCACGUCGCGUGAAGGAAGACGGCCCUACGGGUUGUAAACUUCUUUUGUAAGGGAAUAAAGUGUAGUACGUGUACUAUUUUGCAUGUACCUUACGAAUAAGGAUCGGCUAACUCCGUGCCAGCAGCCGCGGUAAUACGGAGGAUCCGAGCGUUAUCCGGAUUUAUUGGGUUUAAAGGGUGCGCAGGCGGGAGAUUAAGUCGGCGGUGAAAUUUUGCAGCUCAACUGUAAAAGUGCCUUCGAAACUGGUUUUCUUGAGUGUGGAUGAAGUAGGCGGAAUUUGUGGUGUAGCGGUGAAAUGCAUAGAUAUCACGAGGAACUCCGAUUGCGCAGGCAGCUACUAAACCAUAACUGACGCUCAGGCACGAAGGCGUGGGGAUCAAACAGGAUUAGAUACCCUGGUAGUC